AGUUCAAGAGUACGUGAAACCGUUUAGGGGUAAACCUGAGAAACCCGAAAGGUCGAAGGGAGAAAUUCAUUCGCGUUUCGUUGCAGGCGUCGAGCGGUUGAGUGACGUAAAAAAUGAGUUUACUUGUUUUUGCGCACCUUCCGUUCGUUCGAGCCAGUGACGAACGCGUGCACUUUUCUCCUGGUAGGACGUCGCGAUCCGUUGAGUGUCGGUCUACGGCCCAUAGUGGAGCCCGUUUGUUACAAUUUACGUUGUACGAACGGACCUAUGGUGUUCACUCCUGGCCGAUUCAAAAACACUAAAUUAUCGACGGUAUACGAAUGGUUCGAGGCCGCUCUCUUGAGAGCGUCUAACCGAUAACAAGUACGCUGAAUGUUUGUCGAUGAUCGGACCUAGUGCCGAUUACGACCUUCGGUGACUGUUAGUUGUCGAGUUCUUGGACAGACCUCGUUGUUGAAAAUUUACUUUUCAACAUAACCAAUCAGCGACGCUAUAGCUUUGGGUACUUUCAGGACCCGUCUUGAAACACGGACCAAGGAGUCUAGCAUGUGCGCAAGUCAUUGGGAUUUAAUCUAAACCUAAAGGCGCAAUGAAAGUAAAGAUCUUCCUUGUGAGGAUCUAGGGAGGAUAAAUGGUUUUGCCCUUAAAAGCUACCAUUUCGCACUCCCGGGGCGUCUCAUUCUCAUUGCGAGAAGAGGCGCACCAAGAGCGUACACGCUGGGACCCGAAAGAUGGUGAACUAUGCCUGGUCAGGACGAAGUCAGGGGAAACCCUGAUGGAGGUCCGUAGCGAUUCUGACGUGCAAAUCGAUCGUCGGAACUGGGUAUAGNNNNNNNNNNNNNNNNNNNNNNNNNNNNNNNNNNNNNNNNGGGCGAAAGACUAAUCGAACCAUCUAGUAGCUGGUUCCCUCCGAAGUUUCCCUCAGGAUAGCUGGCGCUCGUUGCGUACGAGUCUCAUCCGGUAAAGCGAAUGAUUAGAGGCAUUGGGGUCGAAACGACCUCAACCUAUUCUCAAACUUUAAAUGGGUGAGAUCUCCGGCUUGCUUGAAUGUUGAAGCCGUGAGAUUUUCAAUUUAAACCGGAUCAGAGUGCCAAGUGGGCCAUUUUUGGUAAGCA
rnacentral:rRNA from 1 species